rnacentral:misc_RNA from 1 species
UAAAGCUUUGUAUCUCGUUCUGCCGAACGUGUUUGUAUCGCCCAGUAUCAGCAUGGGUAUUUACUUUUUGAUUUACAAUUAUAAGUGCAUCUCCGACAAGUUCAAUCUAUUACCAUACUCACUCGUCGCUUUCUUUUUCUCAGAUUGCAAUUCCGAACGGUCAUAUACACACAUACUCAUAUCAAGUUAUAGACCCAUCAGAUUACAUCUCAAUUGUUGCAAGGAACUUGAAUAACCCAGACGCCUCAAGCCUUAAUUGAAGCGCUUCUUAAACAACGAAUGCCUCUUGGAUGGAUCCUUGGCUUUG